GCCAGAUGAUGAUGAGCAGGCUGUGGUGAUUCAGUGUGCCGGCUAAGUUCUAGGCCCUUUGUCCUGUCGAGGUCUGUAAUCUUGGUGAGCGUUGCAGAGUUGUGUGCGCUCGCUGUAAGGGCAGACCAACAUGAAUUCCUUCCUACUUUGGAGCCGCCUCUCUUUCAUGGGAGGGGCUCUUCCGGUUGCCCGGGAGACGGCAAGGCAGCUGGAGUUGGAGUAGGAACAGGGCUUGCUUCGAUUUCCAUGGAGGGCAGAGGGUCUGUAAGGACUUAGCCCUGUGAGCGGCCACUGGAGAUGACACACACAUCUUUGGUAAUCUGAUGGCU